GCACCCCGCUCCGCCGUGUCCCUGCACCCCGCUCCACCGUGCCAUGACCCUGCGCCCCGAUCUGCCGUGUCCCUGCACCCUGCUCCGCCGUGCCCAUAUCCUCUCCCCCCUCCGCCGUGCCGUGUCCUUGCACCCCGAUCUGCCAUGUCCCUGCACCCCCUUCCGCUGUGCCGUGUCCUUGCACCCGGUUCUGCCGUGCCCUCUGCCCUGCUCUGCAGUGCCAAUGUCCCUGCACCCCGAUCUGCCGUGUCCCUGCGCCCCGCUCUGCUGUGCUAUGUCCUUGCACCCCGCUCCGCCGUGCCGUGUCCCUGCGCCCCGGUCUGCCGUGCCGUCUCCCCGCGCCCUGCUCCGCGGUGCCCAUGUCCCAGUGCCCUGUUCCGCCAUGCCAAGUGCCCUGCUCUGCAAUGCCCAUGUCCCUGUGUCCCGAUCUGCUGUGUCCUGUGCCCCCUUCUGCCAUGCCAUGUCCCUGCACCCCGAUCUGCCAUGUCCCUGAGCCCCGCUCCACCGUGCCAUGUCCCUGCACCCAGCUCCGUGGUGCCCAUGUCCCUGCGCCCUGAUCUGCCAUGUCCUGCAUCCUGCCCCGAGGUGCCCAUGUCCCUGCACCCCGCUCCACGGUGCCCAUAUCCCUACCCCUUGCUUCGUGGUGCCCAGGUCCUUGCAUCCUGCUCCACGGUACCCAGCUCCCUGUGCCCCACUUUGCAAUGCCCAGGUCCCUGCGCCCUGCUCCACGGUGCCCGCUUUGCCCUGCCUCACGGUGCCCGCAGCUCUGCGCCCUGCUCCGUGGUGCCCUGCGUCCCUAUGCCUUGGUCUGCGGUGCCCAAAGCCUUGCUCCGUGGUGCCUGCAGCCCUGCGCCCUGCUCUGCGGUGCCUGGGUCCCUGUGUCCUGCUCCGUGGUGCCUGCAGUGCCCUGCUCUGCAGCGCUGCAUCCGUGCCCCCUGCCCCGCAGUGCCUGCUUUUCCGCAUGGUGCUCGGUGGUGCUGGCAUCCCUGCGCCUGUGCUCCACAGCGCCCACAUCCCUGCACCUGCGCGCCGCAGUGCAUCCCAGCCUGUGCAGGGACAGGGUCCCCCGCUGACGAGCGAGACAUGCAGUAGGAGCCGGCGCUUCCCAUCGGAGAGCGACGCUCCUGGGUGCCGCGAGGCCCUGGGCACAGCCGGGAGAGCGGCUCGGGAGAGGCCAGGAGAUGCACCAAAUCAGCUGCCUCCUCGCAGGGCUUGUCUUCAUCCUCGGCGUGACCGGCACGGACGGUUUUGCCCGGGCAGGGUAAGCCUCCUCUUUGUCUGCGUCUCCGUGGUCUUGUCGUGGGCCUGCGCUGAGCCCGUCUGCAGGUCGCAGCGAGGCUUGUUCUUUCCCAGCAGCACCUGGAGCCGCGUUCGGCCCGCCGGCCGUUGCUGGGCUGGCGAUGAGGUGGGAAAGGCUCGGCAGGGUCCUCCCGGGGCGGCCGGCUCUCGGCAGGCUUUGAAGCGAGAAAGUCUUUCGGGCAAAAUGCCUUGGGGCAGCUUAGCUCCACGCAGGGGCCACAAAGAUGCUCUGAGCUUUUCCGAAUACCUCUUGUCCCUGUCGAGCGCAUCCCAGCAGAAGAGCGUGCGCCCAGGCUCGCGCCUUGCGGACGGACCCUCGGAGCGGGGUGCCGUCUCCCAGCCCCACGGAGCUGCCCGCUCCGGGGCACGCAGGCGNNNNNNNNNNNNNNNNNNNNNNNNNNNNNNNNNNNNNNNNNNNNNNNNNNNNNNNNNNNNNNNNNNNNNNNNNNNNNNNNNNNNNNNNNNNNNNNNNNNNNNNNNNNNNNNNNNNNNNNCGCCUGCCGUGUCCUGUGCUCCCGGGACUGGUGUGGGCGACGCAGCGCGUGGGCCCGCCAGCGAUCCCCCCGCCUUUGCUGCCAAGGGGUCUGACACAGCAUCCCGUCCGACUUAGCCCCUUCUCCGUUCUCUGCUGGGCCGAAGGAGGCCCCAGAGCUCAGUGCCCCAGUUUCUCCCCAGCCGAAAGGAGCUCUAGCUCGCCUCCUGCCCCUCCGAUUCAGCUCCUAUUUUCUACCCGGUUUAUUUUUUCAGCAAAACCCUCUCCUCUAGCAUUAAACCUAUUGCAUUCUGGUCGUGAGUAAGCCGACAGGCCGAACUCCUCUCUCAUACACAUGCUCUAUAGCUAUAACUUUAUUAUAGAAUUUGCAAAGCAAACAAUUGCCGUUUAUAAAUUGCAUCUUCCAUACGAUUAGUCAGUGAGGCUGAGGGGAGCUUUCUGGAGUUAAUGGAAGCCAUCUGAUGUCCAUGUUAAUUCCCAGCCUUUUUAUUCUAGUUUGUAAUAGGGCUGGGAAGCUGAGAUGAGUAGGCAAGGUCCUAAGUGGGACUGACCUGCUUGGGCUGAAAAACAUUGAAAAAAGUAUCUUGAAUGAAGACCACUUUGGCUGUUAACCCUGGGAAAUUUUUUUUGACUGGAUCUCAGUUAUCUUAGGGAAAAUAGAGCACAGCUUUGCUCUGGGCUCUGCCUUGUUGCUUUGAGCCUGACCCUUCCUGUGAACUCCCUGAUUUUUUGGGAGGGGGCCACAGGGGCAGCGGUUUCAGGGAUGCAAAAGUCUCAGAAGGGAAAAAUCCACCUAAAAAGUGAGGGAUUUUAGGGGAAGGAGGGAAAUGAGUGGAAGGAGAGCUGCUUAGAAUAAAUGCCACUAAAACCGGGCCCUGGUUGUUCUU
rnacentral:lncRNA from 1 species